UUGAUAUUGGUCUCAGCAGCAUGGAUUUAUUAGUUAACAUCCGUAUUAGUAGCUUCAGUUUAUGCAUGUAUCCAAAUGAAAAGAUGAUUAAAAAAACCAACACAAAAGGGUUAGCUCCCCAUAAAGAUUAGUAAGAUUAGAGCUAAAUAUAUUUCCUAUUGUCUGUGCAAACAAAAGGGGUUCAUAUUCUAAUCUUGGUACUUAGAUUCCGGUGUAAGGCUACAACAUCUUUAUCUCGGCGGGUUUUAAUUUUGUCCUCUUUUCCAUUUACUUGUCAACAGCAUAAACUCAUUUAACAGUGAUAUCAUUUCUUACUCUCAUUCCCCCUACUCUUCUUCUCUGUCACUGCUAUCAUGCUGAAAAAGAGGGGGAUAGGCCUACCAAGAUUAAUGAGCCAACAAUAAUUGAAGAAACAACGAUGGCAUGAGCAGGUCCUAAUCAAAGUUGCCUCUUCCUCCUCGACUCCAAGCCAACUUGAGAUGUCGCGACGGUGGCCUGGGCGGUGUGUUACGGCAAGCACGCAUCAGCAGCAGACGUCUUUCAAAGAAGGUCCUCUUGGUUUGCUUGAAUCCGUCGUGCAAGUGGUAAAUUGCUGGUUGAUUUGGGUGGUUGCCUUCCAGCAGAGACGAGGAGCUGCAUCAAGGGGAAUUAGCUCUGUACAACCUCAUACUAAAAAUGAAAUAUGGAACAAUUGAGAUUUUGCCCGCGGCUAUCAAGUGAAACAGGUCCCAAUCAAUCAUGUGGUCCCAAUCUCAUCAGAAUAAGGAAGCAACUAUGUUGAUGCAGCAGAUGCAGCAUCAACCUCUAUCAUCAAACGAAACAUGAAUAUACCACCUCUUGUCUAACUGUUUCCAAUCUAAACUUUUGCAGCACAUUAAUGUCUAUAUUAAGGAGAAACCAAGCCACUCUUUUCAGACCAUCCCAAAAGAGCUGCAACUACAACUACAACUCGAUUUUAGAUUAUGUACUUGGUAGUUUCUAGCCUUUUACUAGAGCACCAAAUGUGUAUUGUUGUAACAUAAAUGUAAUCUACCGUCUAUUAUAAUUCCCUACAAAUAAUUUAGAUUAUUAAUAUUAUAGU